GUCAGAUAGGUGGUCGGCCCACUUGGCGGCUGGGUGGGUUAAAAGGGGUAGGAUCCGGCGCCAUCGCUCGCGUGUUGGAGAUCGAGAGAAGGAAACCCUAGCCGCGGUCGUCCACAUCUGCUUGGGUUGGUGGAGGUAUGGCUAUGGCGCUGCGCACCAUGGCCGCCAAGCUGAAGCAGAAGAUCCCCGCCGCUCUCCAGCGGAUUCGCGUCUCUUCUCGUGCUCCGCCGGGCACUGGAGAAGAUUGUAGAGAAACACAGGAAGAGGCGCAGGAACGAGGCCUUGGCCUGUGGUGCUGGCUUCAGUCUUGGAGCACUCACCUUUUUGCUUGGGGUCCAUCGGCUCGGUUGAAGGGAGAUUGCUCAAUGGUGAAUGACUGGAAUAUCUAUCCUGCACCGCGUGUUCUACUAUCUACUCCCGCCCCGCAAGUUCUACUAUCUACUAGUGCUAUAUCCUCACCGCAAGUUCUACUAUCUGCUACUACUAUAUAUAUAUCAUGUAUGUUUUAACUAGCUGGUUUACUCUGUAAUUCCUGGCUUGUGUGUUAUGUAAGAUCACUACUGUAUGUACAAUGGGGGUCCAGGUUCUGUGGGAUCUAAUUUCGGUGGUUGCAUGUGGGAUGUAAGAGCACUCUAUCGCCACUCUUAUCUGUUGUUAUCAGAGAUCUAUAUUGAGCCAUGUUACUAAUC